UGAGAGGGUGAUGAAGGUUUCCUUGUCCA
rnacentral:piRNA from 1 species